GAGCAUUAUCUAUUAAGGUUUGCCAAGAAAAGAUAAAUGUACAGAUUAAGAACAGGAUAGAACAUAAUUUAAAUAAGCUCAAUAUUAAAUACUAUUGCAAGAAUAAUUGAGUUGACUCAUUGUUAACAAAUAAAUUAAAGAAAAAGAUGGCUGACCAAAAGAUCUCCAAACUGGGAGAUGGAAUUAAUUAUAUCUAUAAGCCAGAUGAAAUUGCCAGCAAAUUCAGAUCUUUUUAUGCAAAACUAUACAAUUUGAAUACAUCCCCUGACUUAGUCAUGUUGGAGAAUUACUUGAAAAAAUCUAAUUUAUCAAAAAUAUCUUAUGAUCAGAAGGAAAGGCUUAACAGAAGUAUCUCUCAAAAUGAAGUCAAUUUAGCAAUUGAUACGCUUGUAAAUAGUAAAGCUCCUGGUCCGGAUGGG